rnacentral:misc_RNA from 1 species
CAGAGCGCCGGAUGCCGGGAAGUUGGUCAAACUUGAUCAUUUAGAGGAAGUAAAAGUCGUAACAAGGUUUCCGUAGGUGAACCUGCGGAAGGAUCAUUACCGAUAAGCAAUCCAAGGUUAUGAACAUUAACCUGUGUGAACUGUACACAAUCUUUAGGGGUCGGUCACUGUGCCGUUAAAUGGUCGUUCGUCCGUUGAUUCGGCGUCCGGCCAGCCCCGCCUUCUGUCAUGUUUGACGCACUUUAACGUACCAGUCUGAAACAUGUCGUCGCCUGCGGAAAAGGCGCACGAAAACGAAAAUGAGAGAGACAACUUUUAACGGUGGAUCUCUUGGCUCACGUAUCGAUGAAGAACGCAGCCAGCUGCGAUAAGUAGUGUGAAUUGCAGAAUUCAGUGAAUCAUUGAAUCUUUGAACGCAAAUGGCGCUCUUGGGUUCUCCCAGGAGCAUGUCUGUCUGAGUGUCGGAUAUUAUCUAACGCACUCGAGCGUGCGGAAUUGAGGAGUCACGGCGUCGUUCUCGCCGUGUCCCUUGAAGGCAAGCGUGCUAGACUCGCAUCGUGCGGUUUCAAACCUGCACUCCAUGCGAAGGCUAAAAAUAUUGAGUCUGAUGAUGGGGUG